rnacentral:rRNA from 1 species
GAUGAACGCUAGCGGCAGGCCUAAUACAUGCAAGUCGGACGGGAUUCCGGUGCUUGCUUCUGAUGAGAGUGUCGCACGGGUGCGUAACACGUAUGUAACCUACCUUUUUCAGGUGGAUAUCCUCUCGAAAGAGUGAUUAUGCCCCCAUAAAAUCACACCUCAGCCUUGUGUAAUGAUCAAAUAUUUAUACGAUUAAGAUGGGCAUGCGGAACAUUAGCUUGAUGGCGGGGUAACGGCCCUCCAUGGCCACGAGGUUUAGGGGAUCUGAGAGGAUGGCCCCCCACAGUGGUACUGAGAAACGGACGAGAGUCCUACGGGAGGGAGCAGUAAGGAAGAUUGGUGAAUGGGAGGAAGCCUGAAACAGCCAUGCCGCGUGCAGGAAGACGGCGCUACGGGUUGUAAACUGCUUUUAUACGGGAAUAAACCCAGAUACGUGUAUCUGGGUGAAUGUACUGUAAGAAUAAGGAACGGCUAACUCCGUG